rnacentral:rRNA from 1 species
UACGAAGGGUGCAAGCGCUACUCGGAAUUACUGGGCGUAAAGCGUGCGUAGGUGGUGAGUUAAGUCUGUCGUGAAAGCCCCGGGCUCAACCUGGGAAUGGCGAUGGAUACUGGCUCGCUAGAGUGCGGUAGAGGAGAGUGGAAUUCCCGGUGUAGCAGUGAAAUGCGUAGAGAUCGGGAGGAACAUCAGUUGCGAAGGCGGCUCUCUGGACCAGCACUGACACUGAGGCACGAAAGCGUGGGGAGCAAACAGG